GGCUCAGGACGAACGCUGGCGGCGCGCCUAAUACAUGCAAGUCGAGCGAGAAGGUGUAGCAAUACACUUGUAAAGCGGCGAACGGGUGAGGAAUACAUGGGUAACCUACCCUCGAGUGGGGAAUAACUAGCCGAAAGGUUAGCUAAUACCGCGUACGCCUCCCGGACUUCGGUUCGUGAGGGAAAGCGAUACCGUGGGUAUCGCGCUCCUGGAUGGGCUCAUGCCCUAUCAGCUUGUUGGUGAGGUAACGGCUCACCAAGGCUUCGACGGGUAGCUGAUCUGAGAGGAUGAUCAGCCACACUGGCACUGCGACACGGGCCAGACUCCUACGGGAGGCAGCAGUAAGGAAUAUUGCGCAAUGGGCGACAGCCUGACGCAGCGACGCCGCGUGGGGGAUGAAGGUCUUCGGAUUGUAAACCCCUUUCGGCAGGGAAGAUGGAACGGGUAACCGUUCGGACGGUACCUGCAGAAGCAGCCACGGCUAACUUCGUGCCAGCAGCCGCGGUAAUACGAAGGUGGCAAGCGUUGUUCGGAUUUACUGGGCGUACAGGGAGCGUAGGCGGUUAGGUAAGCCCUUCGUGAAAUCUCCGGGCCUAACCCGGAAAGGGCGGAGGGGACUGCUUGGCUAGAGGAUGGGAGAGGAGCGCGGAAUUCCCGGUGUAGCGGUGAAAUGCGUAGAGA
rnacentral:rRNA from 1 species